GUCCAGUGAUUUAUAUCCAUGGGAAACACAAGACGCAUCAUCAAACGUUUGGGUAAACGAGUGGUGCAGGUAAGCUACGAGUUAGAAGAGAAGGUUGAGAAACAACGCAAUGGUCGCAAGCUACACUCUAAUUCAGGGACUGCAAAUGUGAACGCGUCAGGUAAUACCUACCUAUGUAUAUUGCUCUGAAGUUCUGCAUCAUGAUAUACUAAUGUGGUCCAAGUAUUGGUCUGGUUUGAUAGUGUUUUAUCCUUCUUUUGAUAUUUUUAGAAUUUACUGUCUGAUAGAUUCCUCUAGAAAACGAAAGCGCGGGUUCACGCGUCUUCCGGGUGUAUGGAAUCUUCCUCCUGGGAAACGCAUCAGGGUUCUGUUAGGGAAGAAAAUGCAGCCUAUUGGAGUUGAAGGAGGUUUGCUCGGGGAGUUUCUCGGGACCAUUGCUAGAAAUGGCGAGUUGGCACCAUUGUUCACAACUUGGAAGCAAAUUACUGAAGAUAUGAGACAUGCUAUGAUUCGGAUUGUAGAGGUUGUUAGCUAGUGUUCAGACAAAAUUCCACUCAUCAUGUUAUAAAGUAUAUAACAUCAUUAUGAAUUUUUCUUUUUUGUAGUCCAAAUUUGAUUAUCCUCGUAUACCAGCUAUGGAAAAAUGGAUUCUACAUUCCAUAAACUCUAAAUGGAGAAAUUGGAAAAGCAAUCUAAAAGCUGCUCACUACGAUAGCUCUCAGCCAUUAUCAUAUCAUCUGAAGCAUCUUCCGGAAAGGGUGAGAAGAGAUCAAUGGAAAAAUCUUGUCGCUUUUUGGAGUUCAAAGGAAGGGAAGAAGCUGAGCAACAUAAAUAAGGCUAAUAGAGCAAAACAGAAGAUACGGCACACCUUAGGGAAAAAAAGUUUUGCAAGGAUAACAGCAGAAAAGGAAGCAGAGUUAGGAAGGG